rnacentral:misc_RNA from 1 species
CAUUUUGACCAGUGUAAUUUUAGCUGUCUGGUGGUAAACGUGCAGACGCAGUGAUCGAAUAUUCCUCGUUCAGAAAAUAGCAAAUACGACGAAUUACAAAAAAAGUGAAAUAAGUGACUUUUUUUACAUUUACUAUUAUACAUUUUUUAUCGGUUUAACUACGGCGAUACAACGAUAGUGCAACGAAGUAACACGUGACGAUUUUUUUCACCGAUUUUGACUGGUUUUAUAAGAUUGUUUACGUUCUUUUGGAACGUUAGUGUAUGAAGUGGGUUUUGGAAAAACCGGAAAUAUUACAAGAUUCCCUCGUCUUUAUAAUCGUCUCUAACGGCACUAAUUCAUUAUGAAUGAAAGACGAGGAACGAAGGGUCUGGAACUCUGGUGUCGCAAAAUGACAGAAGGUUACCCUGGAGUUAAGAUCGAUAAUAUGACCACAUCUUGGAGAGACGGACUAGCUUUUUGUGCCAUAAUACAUCACUUCAGACCAGAUCUUAUAGAUUUCUCCAAACUCAAUAAGGAUGACGUAUAUCACAACAAUGAACUGGCAUUCCGAGUAGCAGAGCAGUAUUUGGGCAUUCCAGCUCUGCUAGAGCCAGAAGAUAUGGUAGAGUAUGCUGUACCUGACCGUCUAUCUAUACUCACAUAUUUGUCACAAUUUUACCAGGCAUUCGCAGUAAGGGAAGGUGCUUCAACAGCUAGAAUCGCUCCAAAAAGACCUCAAGCACCAUCUGAUCAUGGGAUCGUAUCACCCGCUUCCACCAGUCCUCCUACUAAGGUGGCUCUCACUGCCGCAGGCAAACUGCGAAGAGAGCCUUGCGCAAAGUGCGGUCUACCAGUAUUCAUAGCUGAGCGCCUAAACGUAGGAAAAUCACUGUUUCAUCGUACUUGUUUCCGUUGUGCACGUUGUAAUAGCCAAUUAACCCUAGCCAACUAUUACGAAACUGAAAACUCUGAAUUCUGCUGCGAAAUCUGCCCUGAUGAAGAAAAACUAGCCACCAAAACGUCUGCACAAAAAGCUGUCCUUCAGCGAUCGAUGAGUGAUGAAGAAAAAACGGCUAGCCUAAAGAAUUUUACUGAUGGGCCAGAUGAAUUUAGUGCGGUAUUCGAAUCUGCAUUAGAAAACGCUGACAUAGAAAAAAUACAGACGCUAGGUAGAGAGUUUAACUCGGUAAGAUCAGAUUUCUUUAAGAGUCAGAUUAAGGCUAGCGAAUCUAGUGAUUCCGGUACGGACGAUAAAGACCAAGAACCUCCCGAUUUGCCCAAAAGUUUACCCCCUGCUAAAGAUAUCGGUGAUUCGGUAAUUAGUGCACAAAUAGAUACCAUAAACAGGACUCAAAAUAGUAAAGUCGAUUCUGUCAAUAGCACACAAGAUGACAGUGGUUUUCCUAAAAAAGACAUUGUACAUAGUGGCUUAAAAGAUACUUUAAGUUUUGAUCAAGAAUCUCAAAAUGUUGUUACCAAAGAUGAAUCUUUUGAGGAUUCUUCUCUAGUUAAGACUCGUAGACGAUUGUUUGAAAAUGACGUUACUGAUAUUAAGGCUGAUGUAAAUAGAAAAACAGUGCCUCUAUCAACUUUUACAUCCAUUCCAAGUAGUAUUAAUAAGAGUAUAGAUAUUAGUGAUAUUAAUGAAGAUACCCCGCAUAGCUCACAUACACCGAAAAAGACUAACAUGUGGCAACCUGUAAGUGCAAGAUAUUCCCCCAAAAAGGAAAUUAUUAGCUCAAUAAAUAUGGAACUAAACAAAAAUAAGUUAUUUAAUAACCAGAAACAAGAUGUGAUAGCUCAUUCCGUAAAUAGGAAAUCCAUGGAAGAAGAUACUGUAGAUGAAAAUAAAGAUAUUAGCAUCGUAUCAAUAAAUUCUUCGACCGACCAGAAUAAGUCUGCUAUAGAAAUCAGUUCUAAUGCAUUAUCUAAUACGAAUACAACUGAUUCUUUAGAAGACAGUAAGUCAAUUAUAGAAAUUAGCUCUAGUGUUACAUCGAUUAAAGAUACAACUGAACCUUCUUUAGAUGAAGACAGGUCAAAUCAAGCAGUCACUUCUAGUAUAAUAACAUUGGAUGAUAGUUCAGAUAAAUAUAAAUCGUCUGAAAUUACCUCUAGCGAAAUAAUCGAUGAAUCAUUGAAGUCAAUUAACGAAAGUAUUGACAUUCUAAAAGAUUUAGAAAAUAGCUCUGAAGUAUAUAAAACAGCAGUUGAGUCAGACAAAUUUAAUUUGGAUACUACUACUGACGAUUCCUUCAAAUUAAAUAGUUUAACUGUGGAGAGUAUUGACGAUAUCUCUACUAGUGAAACAUCAAAUAUAGAUCGUUUCGUAUCUAUUGAAAACCAUAGUAAUUUAGCAGAAACUAAAGAUGAUUCUAUAAAUGAAAAUAGUGAUGGAAUUGUCGAAGCUGUAAACGACAACAUUAAAGAAAAGAAAUCACAGGAGAUAGUACAAGCAAUUAACACAGAAAUUAAUUUAAAUGAGAUAAAUUCUUCAAACGAAAUAGUUGAGACAGCACAAGCAAUUAACAAAGAAAUUAAAUUAAAUGAGGUAAAUUCUUCAAACGAAAUAGUUGAGACUGUUAACUAUAACGUAAAUAAUUCUAGUGAUGCGCUUUCAAAAUCAAGUGAAGUUGUAGAAAAUACUAAAUCGAAAUCCAAAAACACUCUCCUUAAAAUGGAAAGUUAUCCUGAAGAUCUUAAUCCAUUCGAUGAUGAACCACCUACUCCCAAUGAUUCCCUAAAUCCAUUCGGAAGUGAAGAUGAAGAGGAAGAAGUUUCAGCGUCUAUAAAACCCAUGCCAAGUCCUAGAUUUAAGAAGAAAGUCCUAGAUGCUUCCGAUGUGAGAAAAAUGAUGGAGUCUCCCAUGAAAGAUGUUGAUAUAGUGCGAAUUAGUGUUAAUCCUUUUGAAGAGAAUGAUACUGAAAAACCUGUUCCUGCAAGAAGAAGGAAGAAAAUUAGUGUUCCUAAGAUAAGCUUCAACCCAUUUUCCAGCGAUGAUGAUGAUAAUGAAACCGAAGAAGUUUCUAUUCGACCCGUUCCUGCACAUAGGCAACCAAGGCUAUCUACUGAUGCUAAGCCCCGAGAAUCACUGCUUAGUGCAAAUCUUCGUUUUGGGUCAAAUUCCUCGAUUUCCAGUGAAAGUUAUUAUGGUAGUGCAAGGAAAAAGAGGCCAGCUCCAAGACCUCCAAUUCCAGGACUGUAUGGUGAAUCUAAUGCUAGUUCAUUGACUUCAACCCCUAGUCAAAGCGUGCAACAUUCUCCGAAGGCUACACCCAAACAGAGAAAAAAUAAAAGAGCACCUCCUCCUCCCCCCAAGUUUGCUUCUACACCAAUACCGAGUCCGAAAAAACCGGAUGAAAACACCACUGAAUCCCAAACUGAGUCUUCCAUAAAACCCGAUGAUCUUCAACAAGAAAAAACAGCGAAGGAUGAAGUCAAUAGGAACCGACAAAGCCAAGACAUGCAAAAUGAUCCCGUUAUUGAGGACUCGAAUUUGCUUUCGGUUCCCAAUAAGAGUACUUAUGGAAAAUGGAAAAGGAAAAAGGGGCUAGCGCCAACAAAGCCGGUUCCCCAAAAGCGCACUAUCAGGUGUCUCCCAAUGACAGAAAUUAAGAAAGAACUAGAGUUUAUCGAAAUUCAGCAACAAGGACUAGAAAAACAAGGCGUAAGAUUGGAACAAAUUAUUAGGGAGAAGUGUGAAGGAAAAGAAGAUGCUAGUACCAAUACAGAUGAUGAUAUUCCUAUUGAAGUAGAAGAUUUAAUUUUACAAUUAUUCGAAUUAGUUAACGAAAAGAAUGAAUUAUUUAGGAAGCAAACGGAAUUAAUGUAUUUGAGAAGGCAGCAACGUUUAGAGGAAGAGCAUGCAGAUGUAGAAUAUCAAAUUCGGUGUCUCAUGAUGCAGCCCGAAGCCAAUAAAACUGAUUCCGAUAAAGCACGUGAAGAAGAAUUAAUUAAAAGGAAAUUUUGGUUUAAGAGCUUAUUUAAGAAAAUUGUCAAAUUUGUUACAAAAAAGUAGUUUUACCUCUUCGCCAUAUUUACAUCCUCAAUUAGAAGAGUUAGAUAAAAAUAUCAGGUUAGUCGACUUAGUAGAAAGACGAAAUGAAAUAGUAGAAUGUCUUGAAAUGGAUCGGGUGCGUGAAGCAGAGGAAGAUGACAGCAUAAGUAACCACCUCAGUUCAUUUACUCUAAGUAGGGAGACUGACAAGUCUCAAACGGAA